rnacentral:rRNA from 1 species
AACGAACGCUGGCGGCAGGCCUAACACAUGCAAGUCGAACGCCGUAGCAAUACGGAGUGGCAGACGGGUGAGUAACACGUGGGAACGUACCUUUCGGUUCGGAAUAACUCAGGGAAACUUGAGCUAAUACCGGAUACGUGCGAGAGCAGAAAGAUUUAUCGCCGAAAGAUCGGCCCGCGUCCGAUUAGCUAGUUGGUGAGGUAAUGGCUCACCAAGGCGACGAUCGGUAGCUGGUCUGAGAGGGAUGAUCAGCCACACCUGGGACUGAGACACGGCCCAGACUCCUACGGGAGGCAGCAGUGGGGAAUAUUGGACAAUGGGCGCAAGCCUGAUCCAGCCAUGCCGCGUGAGUGAUGACGGCCCUAGGGUUGUAAAGCUCUUUCGCCAGGGACGAUAAUGACGGUACCUGGAUAAGAAGCCCCGGCUAACUUCGUGCCAGCAGCCGCGGUAGA